UUUUAAAAUGCCAAAAAUACCCAUAUUUAAUUUUUUUUAAAUGCCAAAAUACCCUUUCUUUCUUUCUUUAUUUUUUAUUAUUUAUUUUUUUUUCCAGAUUUGGAUGAGCAUUGCUUGAUCAGCUACCCAUAUUCCAAAUUCCAAUAUAUAUUAUCCUCUCCUCUUUUCUCAGACUUCCUCUUCCUUUAAAUCCUUGCCCAUCAUCGGAGAUUCAACUAUGAACCCGAUUAGCAUUGAACGCCUUGUUAUAAAUAGGAAGAGGUACCAAUUAGUUACAAGUGCGGCUGGUGCGGUCAACCUCUCUUACCUUGUCGGCAUUCACAAUCAUAUGGUUAACGAUGUUGUGUAGAAGAUAGGACAACUGGGCUGCCUCCAAAAGUGUUUAAAGUUUAGAGUCUCAAUAUCCCUUAUCUCCUUAAGUUUGUAGCUUCUUAUCUUUGCCUAAAUUGAUUUGCUGCAAUCAGCAGAUUGAGCAUGUAAAUGUGCUGCAAUCAUUUGUUUAUUGGCUUUUUCAAAAUUUUGAAGUUGCACCAUGA
rnacentral:lncRNA from 1 species